rnacentral:rRNA from 1 species
UACGGGGGGUGCAAGCGUUAUUCGGAAUUAUUGGGCGUAAAGCGCGUGUAGGCGGCCUCUUAAGUCUGGUGUGAAAGCCCGGGGCUCACCCCCGGAAGGGCACUGGAUACUGGGAGGCUAGAGUACCGGAGAGGAGGGUGGAAUUCCUGGUGUAGCGGUGAAAUGCGUAGAUAUCAGGAGGAACACCGGUGGCGAAGGCGGCCCUCUGGACGGCUACUGACGCUGAGACGCGAAAGCGUGGGGAGCAAACAGG